GCCUGGGUGGCUCAGUCGGUUGAGCGUCCGACUUCAAUUUAGGUCAUGAACUCACAGUCCGUGGGUUCGGGCCCCGCCUCGGGCU
rnacentral:tRNA from 1 species